rnacentral:ribozyme from 15 species
GCAAUUACUAAUAAUAGAGAGAAACAAAAAUUGUUCUAGACGUGUUUUUUUUUUUUUUUGGUUAAAAAAAAGUUUUUUUUUUUAAAAAAAAAAAAAAAAAAAAAAAAAGCACGUUUCCUUCUCUCUCGCCCUUUUUUUUUUGUUUUUCUUUUGGUAACAAACAAUGCUUAGUACAUAAAAAUAGGGUUUUCCUUGGUCAUUAUUCUGUCAUCUUUUUUAAGAGCGUUGCGGAGCGGUUUGGAUAACGCAAA